AUCAAAUGAUAUGGUAUUUCUAGCAGGACGGUGGCCAUGGAAGUCGGAAUCCGCUAAGGAGUGUGUAACAACUCACCUGCCGAAUCAACUAGCCCUGAAAAUGGAUGGCGCUGGA
rnacentral:ncRNA from 1 species